CUGGUCGCGGUUCUCAUAAGUGCCCAAAUUUCACGAGCCAAGCGGAGGCUGUUUUUUCACACAGGCUUGAGAAAACCUCUUGCGGGUAAAGCUAGGGUUAAGCCUAACAGUAGGCUUAGAGCAGGGGGGUCCAAACUCAGUCCUGGAGGGUCCUUGUCCUGCCGAGCUUAGCUCCAAGCCCAAUGAAACACACCUGAAGCAGCUAAUCAAGGUCUCUCCAAGCAGACUCUAAACUUCCGGGCAGGUCUGUUGGAGCUGGCUGGAGCAAAACUCGGCCGGACAGUGGCCCUCCAGACAGGGUUUGGACACCCUUGGCUUAGAGUGUCCUUUGUUUGUUUUAGCCAUGCCUGUUGCUGGGGAUCACAGUUUGAACAAGCAGAGCAGGCCGAUAACAUGCACAAUCAAAACCAGGAGUUAAAAUUCCGUUUCAGGAGAGAGCGGUCACUGAAUGCAAACGCUCCUAAUGUCCAAAGGGCAAAAAGUGUGCCAUACAGCAAAAAUUGGAGGACCCAACCUCCAACCGGAAACUGAAAAUACAAAGAUGCUACUAGGAGUGUGACAAAUCGAUUGACCUCUUGUCCAAACUCCUGAGAGGCUACAAGUUCAGGCAACUUCCCAAAAAAAUCCAGGCAUGGAGUUCUGUCCCGCUGUGUGCAUACAUACAACUAUUUCGUGGCAUUUUGUGGUACUCCUAGAGGGAGUUUUGAGCAGGACCUCCCUGGAACACAGGCCUCCACCUCCCGGAACAAAACAUGAACACUCCGUCCUUUGUCUUCUCUUAACACAAGGCAACUGACAAAGCUGUAAACGCUCAAAAGGGGCUACGAAUGCUGCUCCACGCAUGCGUUAGCGGACACGUGUCUCGUCUGCUAAAUUCUGUGUUUGCCGACACACGGCGGAACGGCAGCGAAAAGCUUCCUUCGUCCCUGGGUGGGCUCGAACCACCAACCUUUCGGUUAACAGCCGAACGCGCUAGCCGAUUGCGCCACAGAGACUGACGGCGGCACCUCCACUGGGUUGCGGUGACCUGUUCUUUUGCAUAUGCAACAUAAUAACUAAAAGAAUAAAAAUGUGAAUGAUUCAAAGAAUUACAAUUACAAUAAUUGGCUAUGACUGAUUGAAAAAUAAAAGUUGUCAUGAUUAACUCUUUUUUUUGUAUGUUUUACUUUUCUGUAUCAUUCAAAGCUUAUAGGCACUUUGAAAAUGUUGAGAAAUUAUUUGAGGAUUCUUUGGAAAAUAAAUUUACUAUUUUUUAGAAAAUAACUGCAGCAGAAAUAUAUUUAAACUAAAGUUAUAGAAUAUAGACGUAUAGGAAAAUAGAAAAAAAAAUGUUUUAAAAAUGAUUUAUUGCAAACAUACACUUCCUAAAACAUUACUUAGGAGGGUAGAGGCAUAAAAGUCCCUUUCUUCUCUUUUCUCCUCAUUUUUUCCCUUUUUUCUCUCUUUUUUCCUUCUUUUUUUCUUCUUUCCUCUCUUCCAUUUCUCCCCCCUCCUUAACAGGCCACCGUCAGUCUCUGUGGCGCAAUCGGCUAGCGCGUUCGGCUGUUAACCGAAAGGUUGGUGGUUCGAGCCCACCCAGGGACGAAGGAAGCUUUUCGCUGCCGUUCCGCCGUGUGUCGGCAAACACAGAAUUUGGCUGACG
rnacentral:lncRNA from 1 species